rnacentral:rRNA from 1 species
UGGGGAAUAUUGCACAAUGGGCGCAAGCCCGAUGCAGCCAUGCCGCGUGUGUGAAGAAGGCCUUCGGGUUGUAAAGCACUUUCAGCGGGGAGGAAGGCGAUAAGGUUAAUAACCUUGUCGAUUGACGUUACCCGCAGAAGAAGCACCGGCUAACUCCGUGCCAGCAGCCGCGGUAAUACGGAGGGUGCAAGCGUUAAUCGGAAUUACUGGGCGUAAAGCGCACGCAGGCGGUUUGUUAAGUCAGAUGUGAAAUCCCCGGGCUCAACCUGGGGACUGGAUCUGAAACUGGGAAGCUUGAGUCUAGGAGAGGGGGGUAGAAUUCCAGGGGUGGCGGUGAAAAGCGUGGAGAUCUGGGGGGAUACCGGUGGCGAAGGCGGCCCCAUGGACGAAGACUGACGCUCAGGUGCGAAAGCGUGGGGAGCAAACAGG